rnacentral:rRNA from 1 species
CCUGAAGGUCCCUGGUAGACUACCAGGUCGAUAGGCUGGAGGUAUAAGCACAGUAAUGUGUUCAGCCGACCAGUACUAAUAGACCGUGAGGCUUGACCCU